rnacentral:rRNA from 1 species
GACGAACGCUGGCGGCGUGCUUAAUACAUGCAAGUCGAACGGAAAGGCCCUGCUUUUGUUGGUUUCUCGAUUGGCGAACGGGUGAGUAACACGUGAGUAACCUGCCCCUGACUUUGGGAUAACUUCAGGAAACUGGGGCUAAUACCGGAUAUGAGCUCCUGCUGCAUGGGGGUGGUUGGAAAGUUUCGGCGGUUGUGGAUGGACUCGCGGCUUAUCAGCUGGUUGGUGAGGUAGUGGCUUACGAAGGUUUUGACGGGUAGCCCGCCUGGGAGGGUGACCGGCCACAUUGGGACUGAGAUACGGCCCAGACUCGUACCGGAGGCAGCAGUGGGGAAUAUUGCAGAAUGGGCGGAAGUCUGAUGCAGCAACGCCGCGUGCGGGAUGCCGGCCUUCGGGUUGUAAACCGCUUUCGAAUGUGACGAAGCGUGAGUGACGGUAAUGGGUAAAGAAGCCACGGCUAACUACGUG